CUCAGGGGAUUGCCUCAGUAGCGGCGAGUGAAGCGGCAAGAGCUCAGAUUUGAAAUCGUGCUUUGCGGCACGAGUUGUAGAUUGCAGGUUGGAGUCUGUGUGGAAGGCGGUGUCCAAGUCCCUUGGAACAGGGCGCCCAGGAGGGUGAGAGCCCCGUGGGAUGCCGGCGGAAGCAGUGAGGCCCUUCUGACGAGUCGAGUUGUUUGGGAAUA
rnacentral:rRNA from 1 species